rnacentral:misc_RNA from 1 species
GAUGAAGAACGUAGUGAAAUGCGAUACGUAAUGUGAAUUGCAGAAUUCAGUGAAUCAUCGAGUCUUUGAACGCACAUUGCGCCCCCUGGUAUUCCGGGGGGCAUGCCUGUCCGAGCGUCAUUGCUGCCCUCAAGCCCGGCUUGUGUGUUGGGUCUCGUCCCCCUUCCCGGGGGGACGGGCCCGAAAGGCAGCGGCGGCACCGCGUCCGGUCCUCGAGCGUAUGGGGCUUUGUCACCCGCUCUGUAGGCCCGGCCGGCGCUUGCCGAUCAGCCAAAACUUUUUUCCAGGUUGACCUCGGAUCAGGUAGGGAUACCCGCUGAACUUAAGCAUAUCAAUAGGCGGAGGA